rnacentral:tRNA from 1 species
GGGUGGCUGGCUCAGUGGUUAGAGCUUAGGUCUCGUAACCGAAAGGUUCUGAGUUCGAACCUCGCCAGAGG